UGUUUGACGGAAGACGACGGCAAAAAUAAAACAGCUUUGUGGCGUUUGCUCUAUUAUUUUACCGUAAAUCUUGGGCAAUCCUGGAACUAAUUAUCGAGAGGAUAUGUCUCAAUUUGUUCUGCAUUAAUGCCACGUUGGGAAUGGAGUCGGGGCCCUCAGCCAGAGCAGACACUGCAGCCCAUGAAAUUGAUGAACUGAGACUUGCUCCGGGUCCCGAACACACCAUCUGGAAUUCCAGUCUGAGGUUACAAUUAGAAUUUCUGACCCCAGAUUCAACUUUGGGGAAGAC
rnacentral:lncRNA from 1 species